UCCUUCUUAAAUACACAAACAAGUAGAGAAAAAACCCAUAAUCUAUCACUGUUUCUCUUAAUCGCAUAUAUCUCUUCGAACAACAGAUUCCAAAGAUCUCCAACCGCGCAUUCCAAUGGACAGAGAUGAUCAGCCCGUCCUUGACUACGUCCACCCUUAAUCAUAUUGCAGUAAUUGGCCUAGAGCUAGGUUGUCCCUUCCCUUCCGCGUCUCCUGGAAUUCCAGACAGCGAGGGUUUCACACUUCCAGCUGUAAUGGCCUGAGACGACCCAACUUAUCGUUGGCAAUGCCCGGCUUGCAUCGGCUUACAGCCACCAAACCCACAAAGCAGCAGUAGCUCUGGUGGAACGCAAACACAUGCAAAUGGAAAGAAGAAUCAAACCAGGAACAGGGGGAAGAAAAGAGCAUGAGAAAAAGAAUAAUAAAGUUCAAAAGACGGCAUUAAACCAGAUAUAGCAAGAGACAAUUCGAAUUCAAACUGAGAAAAGGGCGUAGAUAAACAGCAAAGAUCGUAUUGAAACUAUGCGUAAAGACAUGCAUAUACGAUAUUUUGGUAGGUUUGCUCAUAUAAUGCAGGCGGGAAGAAAGAGGGCCGUAAGAUGGCAUGCUCCUCCUCCCAAAGCACGGCAAUCGGAGGGCAGAUCCGCGAAGAAGGUAAAGAAAAAGGAAACACAGAGCUUUCCACAAAAGAUGUACGAUCGUCUUCCACUCAGAGCUCCUAGAAUUGGAUCAUACCACCAGCCAUCGAAGAAUAGAGGCGAUGGAUAGAGGGACAAGACGGAACACAAGAACACAAGAACUGCACCAGUUUUCGUUCGAUUAGCAUCGCGAAUUUUUUAUCAACAACAAGCAGGAACCCUAAUUUCCAGAUUGAAAAACAAAGGAAAAUCUGCAGAAGAAAUAACAGAGAUGGGGAAAUAGGAUUAUCGUGGGAAUCCACGUGCACCUGCGGGAGCUCCGACCGUCGAAUCUGACCUUACCGCAGAUCGCCGCCGAGAAGAGGAUCCCCCCUCCCAAAGCGCCGAUCGUUCUCCCUCACCCCUCCCAGCUCGUGAGCCCCCCCCCCCCCUCCCUGUCUUAAUACGGAGCUGGGAGGGGAAAAAAAUAAUUUUAAUCAAUAAAAUUAAUACCAAAAAUGAGAGAAAACCGGAGCGAGAACACGUAACGGAGAGAUAGGUAAAGCGAGAGGAGACGCAGCGCGACAGAGAGAGAGAGAGAGAGAGAGAGAGAANNNN
rnacentral:lncRNA from 1 species